CAGGUUGGUCCGCUUUUUGAGCGAGUAUCAAAACCCGCCCCGGCAUCACUGUGGGGAGUGUCAAUAUGCUUGAUUGCAUAUAGCGCAAGUCGCAGCUUUUACUUUGAGGAAAAUAGAGUGUUCACGGCAGGUCAAAGCCUCGAAUAUAUUAGCAUGGAAUAAUAUUAUAGGACUCAUGUUCUUAUUUUGUUGGUUUCAGGAGCUAGAGUAAUGGUCGAUAGGGAUUGCUGGGGGCAUUUGUAUUAACGCGUCAGAGGUGGAAUUCUUGGAUUGCGUUACGACAAACUACUGCGAAAGCAUUUGUCAAGAAUGUUUUCAUUGAUCAAGAACGAAAGUAUGGGGAUCGAAGAUGAUUAGAUACCGUCGUAGUCUAUACCAUAAACUAUGCCGACUAGGGAUUGGAGGUCGUUCUAUCUGUGACCCCUUCAGCACCUUACGAGAAAUCAGAGUCUUUGGGUUCCGGGGGGAGUAUGGUCGCAAGGCUGAAACUUAAAGGAAUUGACGGAAGGGCACCACCAGGAGUGGAGCCUGCGGCUUAAUUUGACUCAACACGGGGAAACUCACCAGGUCCAGACAUAGUAAAGGAUUGACAGAUUGAUAGAUCUUUCUUGAUUCUAUGGGUGGUGGUGCAUGGCCGUUCUUAGAUUGGUGGAG
rnacentral:rRNA from 1 species